rnacentral:tRNA from 1 species
GCGAUUAUAGCUCAGUACUAGAGCGCUGGUCUUGUAAACCAGAAGUUGAACAUAAAUAUAUUCUUAUCGCU